UGGGGAAUCUUGCACAAUGGGCGAAAGCCUGAUGCAGCGACGCCGCGUGCGGGAUGAAGGCCUUCGGGUUGUAAACCGCUUUCAGCAGGGACGAGGCCGCAAGGUGACGGUACCUGCAGAAGAAGCCCCGGCUAACUACGUGCCAGCAGCCGCGAUAAUACGUAGGGGGCAAGCGUUAUCCGGAUUCAUUGGGCGUAAAGCGCGCGUAGGCGGUUUGUUAGGUCAGGAGUUAAAUCUGGGGGCUCAACCCCUAUCCGCUCCUGAUACCGGCAGGCUUGAGUCUGGUAGGGGAAGGCGGAAUUCCAAGUGUAGCGGUGAAAUGCGCAGAUAUUUGGAAGAACACCGGUGGCGAAGGCGGCCUUCUGGGCCACGACUGACGCUGAGGCGCGAAAGCUAGGGGAGCGAACAGG
rnacentral:rRNA from 1 species